rnacentral:rRNA from 1 species
AACGAACGCUGGCGGCAUGCCUAACACAUGCAAGUCGAACGAGACCUUCGGGUCUAGUGGCGCACGGGUGCGUAACGCGUGGUAACCUGCCCUUAGGUUCGGAAUAACUCCCCGAAAGGGGUGCUAAUACCGGAUAAUGUCUUCGGACCAAAGAUUUAUCGCCUUUGGAUGGGCCCGCGUUGGAUUAGCUAGUUGGUAGGGUAAAAGCCUACCAAGGCGACGAUCCAUAGCUGGUCUGAGAGGAUGAUCAGCCACACUGGGACUGAGACACGGCCCAGACUCCUACGGGAGGCAGCAGUGGGGAAUAUUGGACAAUGGGCGAAAGCCUGAUCCAGCAAUGCCGCGCGAGUGAUGAAGGCCUUAGGGUUGUAAAGCUCUUUUACCCGGGAUGAUAAUGACAGUACCGGGAGAAUAAGCUCCGGCUAACUCCGUG